UGCUGCCCUGAUUAGCUGAAGCCUCG
rnacentral:piRNA from 1 species